UAUUGAUUACAGACUGCUGAGGCUGGGGAGUCCAGGAGAGUUACUCAAGAAGUGAGACUCAUUGUUCGAGCCAAUUGCAAGAUACGUUAAUAAAAAUGCUAAAGACCCAUCGGCCAAGGAUUUGAGUCUUGCUCUUAGAGAUAACACGCUUUCUAUCGGUUGUCGGUUGUUGCACUUACUCAGAACGUUGAAUACUGUACUGAUUCCUGUUAAAGCAUCGACGGGAUUUAAACCAACCGUAGCAACAGGUCAGCAAGAUACGUUUCUGUUGGUCGAAAGCAAAGAUCGCGCUCUCGUUGAGUUGCACAAGGUGGUUCAAAUAUACGAGGAGCAACACUUUGCCGUACCACCAAAGCUAAUAGUUAUUGGAAAUAGUUUGACCACCGCUGCUGAGGAAUGCAUGGUAGCGUACAAGGACAUACUUUACAUUCUUCCAACCAUUGUGCGAGGCAUUGACGUUUUGGCGAAACUUCAAAUAGUCUUGGGAUUACCCGUUUAUUUGUUUAUUUGUGUACGUCAAAUCAACAGGCUCUUUUGGCCCCAAUGAUUGAAUCUUAUAUCUAGUUAACAAAAAAAAAAGGUCUAUGACAAACAACAACAAAACAUAAGUAAAAACAAUCGAACUUCUACUGCGUUUUCAUAAUUAACAUUGAAUUUUAAGUGCACUCUCAAUUUUGUCCAUUCCUAAGGGCUCCAUACAAUCCUUUGCUGGUUGAUGAAUUCGCGGCAUUUCACUUCGCGUGGCCAAGUAUCGGUGCUUAUUGCUGCCUUUCUCCACCUCUCGUCGAGAUCUACUUUGAAUGAUAUGUAGUCUAGCUCCUCGUAUGCCUUCCAUUUCGGUACAAGUUUCGUAACUUUGAAACAUUCAUCGUUUGAAAUACCGAGCCGCUCAAACACAAGCCUAUCAAUGUCUUGUUCCGUUACUCGUCGAUCGACAUUAGACAACAGUAAUGAGAAAGAAUGAUCUCUGCCAUGAUCGCGACACGAGCGAUUCACAUAGCUAGUACUAUUGUUCGCUGAGUUGGUUGCGCCAUCGCAUUCAGGAGAUGAUAUCGGUGUUGAAGACUGUUUCGGCGGUGUUGACUUCUGCAAUCCAUCAGCAAGCGAUAAUAUUUUAACUAUCUCAGCCACUUGUGCUUUCAAUUCGUCCACAUCCUUCAUGAUUUUAGCUUCACGAUCUUCAGUUUGGACCUCUACGGUCUGUUGUGGAGCAUCCAUUAAGUCACGAAAACAAUCGUUACAGAACAUUUGUAAGCAAUCAUCGCAGAGCCAGAUUAUGUUUUUGGAUAACACUCUCAGUGCAUUUUCUUUCAAGCCUACACAGCCGGCGUGGAAUGCAUUGCAACAUUUACCGCAUACGACGAACAAUUCUUGUUUUACAGUGAUAGAAUUUGAGCAGCUUUCACAGUACAUGUUUUGUCCGAGAUUACAAAGAACAAUGGUGUCGAUGAUUGAAGCAGACUCGAGUCUUUUAGUUUUGCAGUAGUUAAUCGGUUAACUUGCGAUGUUUAUUACGGUUUAAUCACUCAAUUUAAAGCGGAUAGUACUGAUUAAUAUGAAUAGCCGGAAGAUAGAAUUUUUUCUUCGAUUUUUCAACAAUUUUCAACGAAAAACUUGAGAGCAACAAUAUGCGUAUUCAAUGCGUACACAAUCACCUUCAACUCAACGUUUCUAAGUAUUCCAAGUUGGUGUGGAUAUUCAUCGAGCAAUUCGUGUACGGCGUGGCAUCUGAUCACGGGGGCUAUUUGUGCAUUAACAAGUUAAUUCAGUUCUUGAAUGCCCAGCCAAGAUAAUCGCGUGUUGCAUAACAGAAUGUUCUUCAAACUUCAAGACAGCUGAUGAACUGAUAGAACAUGUAAAAGUACAUAAUCCGCCCGUUGAAUAUUUAUAUAAAUGUACAUUUCCAGGAUGCGUACAAAUAUUUUCUAAAAUGUAUGGUUUUAAAAGGCAUUUGAAAAAUCA
rnacentral:lncRNA from 1 species